UGCUGAAUUUUGGCCAAUGGGCGCAUGCCUGAUCCAGCCAUGCCGCGUGAGUGAUGAAGGCCUUAGGGUUGUAAAGCUCUUUUGCCGGGGACGAUAAUGACGGUACCCGGAGAAUAAGUCCCGGCUAACUUCGUGCCAGCAGCCGCGGUAAUACGAAGGGGACUAGCGUUGUUCGGAAUCACUGGGCGUAAAGCGCACGUAGGCGGAUAUGUCAGUCAGGGGUGAAAUCCCGGGGCUCAACCUCGGAACUGCCCUUGAUACAGCAUGUCUUGAGUCCGAUAGAGGUGGGUGGAAUGCCUAGUGUAGAGGUGAAAUUCGGAGAUAUUAUGAAGAACACCCGUGGCGAAGGCGGCCCAAUGGAUCGGUACUGACGCUGACGUGCGAAAGCGGGGGGAGAAAACA
rnacentral:rRNA from 1 species